rnacentral:misc_RNA from 1 species
GAUGAAGAACGUAGCGAAAUGCGAUAAGUAGUGUGAAUUGCAGAAUUCAGUGAAUCAUCGAAUCUUUGAACGCACAUUGCGCCCCAUGGUAUUCCGUGGGGCAUGCCUGUUCGAGCGUCAUUUACCCCCUCAAGCUCCGCUUGGUGUUGGGCGUCUGUCCCGCUUCGCGCGCGGACUCGCCCCAAAGGUAUUGGCAGCGGUCGUGCCAGCUUCUCGCGCAGCACAUUGCGCUUCUCGAGGCACCGGUGGCCCCGCGUCCAUCAAGCUCACCCCCCCAGUUUGACCUCGGAUCAGGUAGGGAUACCCGCUGAACUUAAGCAUAUCAAUAAGCGGAGGA